rnacentral:rRNA from 1 species
CGGCGGACGGGUGAGUAACGCGUGGGUAACCUGCCUCAUACAGGGGGAUAACAGUUAGAAAUGACUGCUAAUACCGCAUAAGACCACGGUACCGCAUGGUACAGUGGUAAAAACUCCGGUGGUAUGAGAUGGACCCGCGUCUGAUUAGGUAGUUGGUGGGGUAACGGCCUACCAAGCCAACGAUCAGUAGCCGACCUGAGAGGGUGACCGGCCACAUUGGGACUGAGACACGGCCCAA